rnacentral:misc_RNA from 1 species
AACGCACAUUGCGCCCCUUGGUAUUCCGGGGGGCAUGCCUGUUCGAGCGUCAUUAUAACCCUCAAGCUUAGCUUGGUGUUAGAGCCUGUCUUUAGACAGUUCUUAAAACUAGUGGCGGUGCCUUUUGGCUCUAAGCGUAGUAACUUCUCUCGCUAUAGAGCCUAGAGGUAUCCUGCCAGAACCCCUAAUUUUCUAUGGUUGACCUCGGAUCAGGUAGGGAUACCCGCUGAACUUAA